rnacentral:tRNA from 2 species
GGUCUGUAGCUCAGGUGGUUAGAGCGCACCCCUGAUAAGGGUGAGGUCGGUGGUUCGAGUCCACUCAGAAACCG